AUGGGAAAGCUUGGCUUUGCACCAUCAUGGAUUAACAUUGUCAUGCACUUGGUAAGCUCAGUCUCUUUUUCAGUCAUGUUCAAUGGAUCAAAAUCAGAGGUUUUCAAACCAUCCAGGGGUAUUCGGCAGGGAGAUCCAAUCUCUCCAUACCUUUUCUUGUUAGUAGCAGAGGGCCUUUCGUGCCUAUUAAAAUCCCAACAUCAGUCAUCUCAACUCAGUGGUAUUAAGGUGGCACCAUCGGCCCCGCGGGUGAACCACCUUUUAUUCGCAGAUGACAGCCUGCUGUUUUUCAGGGCAAGUGUUAAUGGAGCAGAGGAGGUAUCAAACCUACUUGAGACCUACUGUGCAGCUUCAGGACAGAGAAUCAAUAGAGAUUAG
rnacentral:rRNA from 1 species